AUGGCAAGUCGAAACGAACUUUCCGUUACUUGAUUAUGACGUACUUGUACUGAUUGAGAUUUUUAGCACGUAAGGGAGUGGCUAACGGGUGAGUAACGCUUGGUGUAACCGUGCCCAGAAGUAGGGGAUAACACUCUGGAAACAGAUGCUAGUACCGUAUUACAAAGAAAACCGCGGGGUUUUCUUUUAAAAGAUGGGUCUGCUAUCACUUCUGGAUGGACCCGCGGCGUAUUAACUAUGUGGUGAAGAAAAGGCUCACCAAGGAGUGAUACGUAGCCGACCUGAUAGGGUAAUCGGCCACAUUGCGACUGACACACGGGCCACACUCCUACGGAAGGCCUCAGUAUGGAAUCUUCCACUAUGGACGCAAGUCUGAUGGAGCACCGCCACAUGAGUGACCAACGGUUUCCGCUCGUACAGCUCUGUUGUUACAGAAGAACGUGGGUAAGAGUAACUGUUUACCCAGUGACGGUAUUUAACCAGAAAGCCACGGCUAACUACGUGCCACCAGCCGCGGUAAUACGUAUGUGGCAUGCGUUAUCCGGAUUUAUUGUCCGUAAAGCGAGCGCAGGCUGUCUUUUAAGUCUAAGGAGAAAGCCUUCAGCUCAACCAAACAAGUGCAUUAGAAACUGUCAGACUUGAGUGCUGAAGACGACAGUGGAACUCCAUGUGUAGCGAUCAAUCGUAUAUCUUUGUAAUAACACCAGUGGCCGAAUGCUGACUGUCCUGGUCUGCAAUUGAACGCUGGGCUCGAAAGCCAUGUGUAGCUUAACAUGAUUAGAUACCCUGGGUACUCCCUGCCCGGAAAACGACGAUCACUAAGUGUUGGAGGGCUUCCCCCCUUCAGUGCCUGCAGGCUAAU
rnacentral:rRNA from 1 species